rnacentral:antisense_RNA from 1 species
AGGCAGAGAGGGAGAAAUAACAAGAAUGGAAGAGUCGUUCUUCCAAAAAGGGCCAUCUGUGACCCUGAGAGAGAAACCUGGCAGACUAGGGCUCACAUCUUAGUAAAUCACCGUAAAUAAAGCUUGCAAGGGCAGUGACUGGAAGCUGGGAGAGAGGGUCAACAGCUGAAUCUCAGCCUGAUAGAGGCCACCAUUUAAUAAGUAAAUACAUGCACAGCUAUUUAGAUCCUGCAUCAGACAGCUUCCUCAGCUUCCUCAGAAAGGUCAUCAGAAAACAUGAAGCUAAAUGCAGUAAAGAAUUACUCUCUUGAACU